rfam:Asian citrus Psyllid, Diaphorina citri - Florida Strain, whole genome shotgun sequence.
CACAGCGGGGAUAGCACGUUGAAUACAGCAGCUCUCCACGGAUCACUGAAGUUAAGUAACGUUGCGCUUGGUUAGUAUCCGGAUGGUGUCUAUCUGGACAUCCGCAUGUCUGAUGGGU